rnacentral:rRNA from 1 species
UGAAACCUAGUGAUGUAUGGAUUAGUGGCGGACGGGUGAGUAACGCGUGGAUAACCUGCCGUAUACAGGGGGAUAACACUUAGAAAUAGGUGCUAAUACCGCAUAAGCGCACGGUUCCGCAUGGAACAGUGUGAAAAACUCCGGUGGUAUACGAUGGAUCCGCGUCUGAUUAGCCAGUUGGCGGGGUAACGGCCCACCAAAGCGACGAUCAGUAGCCGGCCUGAGAGGGUGAACGGCCACAUUGGGACUGAGACACGGCCCAAACUCCUACGGGAGGCAGCAGUGGGGAAUAUUGCACAAUGGGGGAAACCCUGAUGCAGCGACGCCGCGUGAGUGAAGAAGUAUCUCGGUACGUAAAGCUCUAUCAGCAGGGAAGAAAAUGACGGUACCUGACUAAGAAGCCCCGGCUAACUACGUGCCAGCAGCCGCGGUAAUACGUAGGGGGCAAGCGUUAUCCGGAUUUACUGGGUGUAAAGGGAGCGUAGACGGCAGCGCAAGUCUGGAGUGAAAUGCCGGGGCUCAACCCCGGAACUGCUUUGGAAACUGUGCAGCUCGAGUGCAGGAGAGGUAAGCGGAAUUCCUAGUGUAGCGGUGAAAUGCGUAGAUAUUAGGAGGAACACCAGUGGCGAAGGCGGCUUACUGGACUGUAACUGACGUUGAGGCUCGAAAGCGUGGGGAGCAAACAGGAUUAGAUACCCUGGUAGUCCACGCCGUANACGAUGAUUACUAGGUGUCGGGGGGCCAAGGCCCNCCGGUGCCGCCGCAAACGCAUUAAGUAAUCCACCUGGGGAGUA